AAAGUACUCCCUUCGUCCGAAAAUACUUGUCGAAGAAAUGCAUAAAAACGGAUGUAUCUAGAAUUAAAAUACGUCUAGAUACAUCCAUUUCUCCGACAAGUAUUUCCAGAUGGAGGGAGUAGAUU
rnacentral:pre_miRNA from 1 species